rnacentral:rRNA from 1 species
GACGAACGCUGGCGGCGUGCUUAACACAUGCAAGUCGAACGGAAAGGCCCUGCUUUUGUGGGGUGCUCGAGUGGCGAACGGGUGAGUAACAAGUGAGUAACCUGCCCUUGACUUUGGGAUAACUUCAGGAAACUGGGGCUAAUACCGGAUAGGAGCUCCUGCUGCAUGGUGGGGGUUGGAAAGUUUCGGCGGUUGGGGAUGGACUCGCGGCUUAUCAGCUUGUUGGUGGGGUAGUGGCUUACCAAGGCUUUGACGGGUAGCCGGCCUGAGAGGGUGACCGGCCACAUUGGGACUGAGAUACGGCCCAGACUCCUACGGGAGGCAGCAGGGGGGAAUAUUGCACAAUGGGCGGAAGCCUGAUGCAGCAACGCCGCGUGCGGGAUGACGGCCUUCGGGUUGUAACCCGCUUUCGCCUGUGACGAAGCGUGAGUGACGGUAAUGGGUAAAGAAGCACCGGCUAACUACGUG